UGUCUAGGCCGUCGGGGAGU
rnacentral:miRNA from 1 species